GACGAACGCUGGCGGCGUGCUUAACACAUGCAAGUCGAACGGUGAAGCGCCUUCCUUUUUGGUGGGUGUGGAUGAGUGGCGAACGGGUGAGUAACACGUGAGUAACCUGCCCCCUUCUUCUGGAUAACCGCAUGAAAGUGUGGCUAAUACGGGAUAUUCUGGGUCUGUCGCAUGAUGGGUCUGGGAAAGAUAUUGUUUCGGUGGGGGAUGGGCUCGCGGCCUAUCAGCUUGUUGGUGGGGUGAUGGCCUACCAAGGCGGUGACGGGUAGCCGGCCUGGGAGGGUGGACGGUCACACUGGGACUGAGACACGGCCCAGACUCAGACGGGAGGCAGCAGUGGGGAAUAGGGCACAAUGGGCGCAAGCCUGAUGCAGCGACGCCGCGGGAGGGAUGGAGGCCUGCGGGUUGUGAACCUCUUUCGCCAGUGAAGCAGGCCUGCCUCGGCUGUGGGUGGGUUGACGGUAGCUGGAUAAGAAGCGCCGGCUAACUACGUG
rnacentral:rRNA from 1 species